CAUAUAUAUGUGUGUGUGUGUGUGUGUUAGUGACAUUCCCAGGUAGAGGGUGAGUAACCAAGAUAAGUCAAAAGUUUCCUGGUGUAACACGUAUCAGUAACUCAACACAAGGCAGCUGGGAAAAGUUUGGCUACGAACGUUCUCUCCUUGACUUAAAAAUUUCCUUUCACAAUCUCCCUUUUGCUUUGCAUUAUUGAGGGUCUAAUAUAGAAAUGAAAAUAUUUUUUGCUUAGAUGUGUAUGAAUAUAUUUCAUGAACUCAGAGCAAGUCAUCGUCGAUGGUGUUGAAACCAAAUUAAUUGAUAUGAGUUUUGAGUGUAGCAGUGUCUGGCAACUAGUUUAGGACUGGGUGGUGUCCAGGGUCCCUAACCUAUAUAUACUCAGCAGGUGGUGUUACUGCCUCAGUCUUGGGUCAUCCUCUCCAGCCAUCAGUGCCAACAUCAUCAGUAUGAGUCGCUUCACAGUAGCUGCCGCUCUUCUAGUAAUUGUUUGCUUCCUGCAACUAUCAGAAGCCAACCCUCAACACGGCUUCCCUGGCAGCAGAUACCCGGGUAGUGGUGGCUUUAUUGGAAGAUUUCCAGGAGGUGGAGGCAUCGGGGGUAGAUUUCCUGGCAGUGGAGGCAUCAUUGGUGGGGGCAGAUUUCCAGGUGGUGGACACCAUGGACAUCAUGGUCAUCAUGGACAUCGCGGAUAAACCCAGAGGAGACGUUGGUAGUCAAGGUGGUAAGAAAGUCUGUGGCUUUAAAGGAUGGUAUUGCGCUUCAAGAAACUAUGCCAACUCAUGAUCUUUACUGAGUUUGGCAGAACUGACAUUCAGUCGAGGUUUCUUCACAUCGGAGAACUUCCCUGACUUGGUCCUGAUCAACAACCAACUGUUCACCAGCAAUCCUGGUGCUGUAGCAGGUAACAAGAGCAGCACUGCUCCUAGUGUUCUUCCCAGCACAAAUUCAGCUCAACUGACCAAGAAUGAGCCACGACCCGCACCCAACUUAGCUACAUAAGGGCGUUUGACAAAUUUGCUUUUUAAUAGACAUAAGCAAAACAACAGUUUGAAAGAGAAAAUGCAACAGCCCUAGAGGUCUACGAGAGCUUGAAGCUUAAGAUUAACUUUUUUUUUGUUUCAUGAGUUUACAUCAGCUUUUGCAUUUUUUUGGUGAUAUACUGAAUUUACAACAAUAAAUAUUUAUUUUCAA